AUGUCUUCUUUAAGCUCCCGCGCCACCUCGCGGAUGCAGAGCCCAGCGCGCGUGGAGAUGCCUAUCUUCAUCUGUCCGCGGUGCCGGGCGGGCGUUGAUCAGAGGGUUUCUCACACAUCGAAGAACCAUAAUCGUCCGUUCUACGUGUGCAGCGAGAAUGGGGUGAAAUGUUUCUUCCUUUGGGUCGAUGCUCUGGCCAAGACUCUGAUGAAUGAACUGCAAGAAGAGCAUGAACAAUGGUUGCCCAUGCUGCUACGAACGGCAGUGGCCGCAGCACGAGCUCCGGAAGAAGAGACGGAGGCGAAGCACGCAAUGACAGAGAGCUAG
rnacentral:rRNA from 1 species